rnacentral:rRNA from 1 species
UACGGGGGGGGCAAGCGUUGUUCGGAAUUACUGGGCGUAAAGGGCUCGUAGGCGGCCUGUUAAGUCGAACGUGAAAUCCCCGGGCUCAACCCGGGAACUGCGUCCGAUACUGGCAGGCUUGAAUUCGGGAGAGGGAUGCGGAAUUCCAGGUGUAGCGGUGAAAUGCGUAGAUAUCUGGAGGAACACCGGUGGCGAAGGCGGCAUCCUGGACCGAGAUUGACGCUGAGGCGCGAAAGCCAGGGGAGCAAACGGG